rnacentral:rRNA from 1 species
UACGGAGGGUGCAAGCGUUAUCCGGAUUUACUGGGUUUAAAGGGUGCGUAGGUGGGCAGGUAAGUCAGUGGUGAAAUCUUCAAGCUUAACUUGGAAACUGCCAUUGAUACUAUUUGUCUUGAAUAUCCUGGAGGUAAGCGGAAUAUGUCAUGUAGCGGUGAAAUGCUUAGAUAUGACAUAGAACAUCCAUUGCGAAGGCAGCUUACUACGGGAUUAUUGACACUGAGGCACGAAAGCGUGGGGAUCAAACAGG